CAACUUUCAGCAAUGGAUCUCUUGGCUCUCGCAUCGAUGAAGAACGCAGCGAAUUGCGAUAUGUAAUGUGAAUUGCAGAUCUACAGUGAAUCAUCGAAUCUUUGAACGCACAUUGCGCUCCUCGGUGUUCCGAGGAGCAUGCCUGUUUGAGUGUCAGUAAAUUCU
rnacentral:rRNA from 8 species